CGGUCGAGACGUGCGUGUCGUUUUGGUGAGGGUUGGGCGGGCCCCGGGCCCCGGCCCCACGCCGUUCCACCAAUGGCCGAUCUUGAACCCCUGCUGCCGCCGCACAACACUAAACACAUUAUUAUUUUUUAGACAUCUGUUAAUCACCUGCUUCGGUGUGCCGCUGAGAGCUAUUAAGGAUGGACGGGGUCAUGCACGAGGUUGGAGGAGAACCGGAGGACUCGGCCGAGGGGAAAAAUCGCUUUAUGGACGUCAGCUGUCACUUUUUGUUGGCUCGGAGAUUGCUCUGCCUUUUUCUUCGUUUUCAUAAUAUCCUCAGGUUCUGAGAAUAAUCAACAAGACGAUGCAAGAAAUAAAAUGGACUGACGUGGAAGAGUUUUUAUGCGCGAUUGUUCCAAGUGGCGUCAAAAUUUUCAGAAGAAAACGAUUUUUAAUCCAGUGCUGGUCAGUAAUUCUCGAUA